rnacentral:sRNA from 1 species
GCUGGGCAUGGUGGCACAUGCCUGUAAUCCCAGUGACUGGGGAGGCUGAGGCAGGAGGAUUGGAAGUUCAAAGCCAGCCUCAGCAACUUAGUGAGGUACUAAGCAACUCAGUGAGACCCUGUCUCUA